GUCCACACCGUAAACGAUGAUUACUAGGUGUUGGAGGAUUGACCCCUUCAGUGCCGCAGUUAACACAAUAAGUAAUCCACCUGGGGAGUACGACCGCAAGGUUGAAACUCAAAGGAAUUGACGGGGGCCCGCACAAGCAGUGGAGUAUGUGGUUUAAUUCGACGCAACGCGAAGAACCUUACCAAGUCUUGACAUCCUGCGACGGUGCUAGAAAUAGUAUUUUCCUUCGGGACGCAGAGACAGGUGGUGCAUGGUUGUCGU
rnacentral:rRNA from 1 species